AUGGAUGGCAUCGGGGGCAGUGGCACCUUGGGCAGGUCCGGUAGGGAUGGCAUCGGCGGCAGAGGCACCGGCAGCUUGGGCAGGUCGCCGGGGAUGGACGGAAUCGGUGGUAAUGGCACCGGCACCUUGGGCAGGUCACCGGGGAUGGACGGCAUCGGCGGCAGUGGCAAGUUUGGCAAGCUGGGGAUGGACGGCAUCGUCGGCAGAGGCAACGUUGGCACGCUUGGCACGGUUGGCACUGUUGGCUCGACGGCGCCGGGUACUGCCGGCAACGGUACCGUCGGGACGCCUGGCACGGUGGGAACCGUCGGCACGGUCGGCACUACGCCGCCGGGUACUGUUGGCAGCGGCACCGCCGGCACACCUGGCACGGUGGGCACCGUCGGCACCUCCGGCACGGUGGGAACCGUCGGGAUGGUCGGCACGACGCCGCUGGGUACUGUUGGCAGCGGCACUGUCGGCACUUCCGGCACGGUCGGCACGGUCGGCACGACGCCGCCUGGCAGGGCAGGGACCGUGGGAACGACCGGGGGCAAGGUCGGCAGCGUCGGUUCCGGCAAGGCCGGAACGUCGGCGAGGAGGCGCGCAGCUCGGCACGUGCUGAGCAUGACGGCCAUGAGGAGCGCCACGGCCACGAAGCUCGUUGGCGUGGAGGCCAUGACGACCGUCAGUUACUACUGCUCUCUUGGACUACUUGUUUCGUUGCUUUGCGUGUGGUGCAAUGGACGGAGCCCUGCAUGUCCAUCUUAUAGCCCACGAGCUGGCCGCAGCUCCAAAUUUCUGCAAGGGGCGCUGACGGCCUCCCACCGCUUGGCAUUUUGCAAAGCAUCGGUUGUUGGCCACCCGAAGCUUAGCAUGGGUCGCAUUGGCCGCCGAAAGAGUGGUGAUUGGCGAAGGGUACUGGAACAAUCAACAAUGUGUGGUAUGGACGCGAGAUACAAACUAUGCGCCCCAUUGCAUAUUUUGUGGCCACCUCGCUUGGUUCAGCUGAAGCUAGCUAGUUGCUUUAACUACAUGGUCAUCAACAAUCAACAAUGCGGAGGUACAGCCGAGGGGGCGUGUGGGACGCUGGAUCGAAUUCUGAUUUGGGCCUCAAAGUUGGAUAGGCCAAGCAGCAGCCAAGCUAUAGCGUCGGUCAAUAUUCUGUGUCGUGUUGCUGCGCUCCAGCCGCCGCUGAUGCCCAGGCAUGCCACCUGGCCUGUUUGUUUUUUCCAAUACCUUGUUGUCAAACACAGCCAAGACGAUCUUCUUGUCUGUGGGCAGGCUACUUGUCAGGAGGCUCAGGUUAUGGUCAAUUUGAUUAAUCACUUCUGUAACAUCUCUGGCCAAACUCCUAACUGGAGUAAAUCAGCUAUUUUUUUUCAGUUCUCAUGUUCCUCAACAGUAAUUAGAAACUUCUGGUGGACAGAUAUUAGAGAAACAGAUUUCAGGAAAAGUCUUUGCCUUCGUGCUUGGAAGGACAUUUCAAAUUCAAAAACAGAAGGAGGAUUGGGUAUCAGAAACUUGAAGGCAAUUAAUGGAAGUCUAAUUCUAGCUGCGGCUUGGAGGACAUUCAUGCUCAUCCUAGAACAGCUCCUACUCAAGUCGCCACUGAUUUAA
rnacentral:rRNA from 1 species